rnacentral:rRNA from 1 species
GAUGAACGCUGGCGGCGUGCCUAAUACAUGCAAGUCGAGCGAACAGACGAGGAGCUUGCUCUUCUGACGUUAGCGGCGGACGGGUGAGUAACACGUGGAUAACCUACCUAUAAGACUGGGAUAACUGCGGGAAACGGGAGCUAAUACUGGAAAAUAUAUUGAAACGAAUGGUUCAAUAGGGAAAGACGGCUUUGCUGUCACUUAAAGAUGGAUCAGCGCCGGAUUAGCUAGUUGGUAAGGUAACGGCUUACCAAGGAAACGAUUCGUAGCCGCCCUGAGAGGGUCAUCAGCCCCGCUGGUACUGGGACUCGUUCCUCACUCCUACGAGAGGCAGCAUUGGCGACUCCUCCGCAAUAGGCGUAAACCUGACCGAACCACGCCGCGUGUUUUAUGGUGCUCUUCUGUUCGUAAACCUCUUUUCUUGGUGAAGAUCAUAUGUGUGAGUAUCUCUACGCGUCUUGACGGUACCUAAUCAGUAAGCCCCGGCUAACUCCGUG